rnacentral:rRNA from 1 species
UGACCGCUGGCGGCGUGCCUAAUACAUGCAAGUCGAGCGAACAGACGAGGAGCUUGCUCCUCUGACGUUAGCGGCGGACGGGUGAGUAACACGUGGAUAACCUACCUAUAAGACUGGGAUAACUUCGGGAAACCGGAGCUAAUACCGGAUAACAUGUUGAACCGCAUGGUUCAACAGUGAAAGACGGUCUUGCUGUCACUUAUAGAUGGAUCCGCGCCGCAUUAGCUAGUUGGUAAGGUAACGGCUUACCAAGGCAACGAUGCGUAGCCGACCUGAGAGGGUGAUCGGCCACACUGGAACUGAGACACGGUCCAGACUCCUACGGGAGGCAGCAGUAGGGAAUCUUCCGCAAUGGGCGAAAGCCUGACGGAGCAACGCCGCGUGAGUGAAGAAGGUCUUCGGAUCGUAAAACUCUGUUAUUAGGGAAGAACAAAUGUGUAAGUAACUAUGCACGUCUUGACGGUACCUAAUCAGAAAGCCACGGCUAACUACGUG